AUGGAAAUGAAGAAUGAUACGUGAAUUUCAGAAUUUAUUUUUCUGGGAUUUUCAGAGGAACCAGAAUUGCAACCCUUCCUCUUUGGGCUGUUCCUGUCCAUGUACCUGGUCACCAUACUUGGGAACCUGCUCAUCAUCCUGGCCGUCAGCUCAGACUCCCAUCUCCACACCCCCAUGUACUUCUUCCUCGCCAACCUGUCCCUUGUAGACAUCUGUUUCACCUCCACCACUGUCCCCAAGAUGCUGGUAAAUAUACAAACACAGAGAAAAACUAUAACUUAUGAAAGCUGCAUCAUGCAGAUGGACUUUUUCACACUUUUUGUAGGUUUGGACAAUUUUUUCCUGACUGUGAUGGCUUACAACCGCUUUGUGGCCAUCUGUCACCCCCUACACUACAUGGCCACCAUGAACCCCCAGCUCUGUGGACUGCUGGUUCUGGUGUCCUGGAUCAUGAGUGUUCUGCAUUCCUUGUUACAAACGUUUAUGGUGUUGCAGCUGUCCUUCUGUACAGUCUUGGAAAUUCCCCCACUUUUUCUGUGAACUCAAUCAGAUCAUCCAACUUGCCUGUUCUGACACCUUUCUUAAUGACAUGCUGAUGUAUUUUGCAACUGUGCUGCUGGUUGCUGCUCCCCUGGCUGGGGCCCUUUACUCUUACUCUAAGAUAGUUUCCUCCAUAUGUGGGAUCUCAUCAGCUCAGGGGAAGUACAAAGCGUUUUCCACCGUGCAUCUCACCUCUCUGUUGUCUCCUUAUUUUAUUGUACAAUCCUAGGAGUGUACCUUAGCUCUGCUGCUCCCCAGAGCUCCCACUCAAGUGCAGUAGCCUCGGUGAUGUACACGGUGGUGACGCCCAUGCUGAACCCCUUCAUCUACAGCCUGAGGAACAGAGACAUAAAGGGGGCCCUAAAUGUAUUUUUCAGAGGGAAGCCAUAA